UGGAACCACAAUCCGCAAAUCUCAGCCUCCUAAGUUGUUAGCAUUACAGGUAUGAUCCACUGGCAUUUAGCUUCAUACAGACUUUAUCUGUGUUUCAUAUGAAAUGCCUGGAAAUGAAAAUUAUCACUAAAAUUGACAUUUCAAUGUCUAGACUGCAUAGUAUCUUAAACCCAAAAUAAAAGAGAAUGAAUUGGAAGUUACAGUUAUAGAAAUUUCCUAGGCUAAGGCAUAGAAAAAGAUGAGGUGCUUGAGUGCUGAGAGGUAUGGAGGAGAGAAUGAGGGAGUGUUUGGGAAAGUAUAUUCUGAAGGAGAAUGACAGAGAACCUUUCAACAUAUGAAAGCAAAGGUUCUCAAGUUCUUGAAAUGUAGUACACUGUAAACAGGGAAAGAACACCUACAAAUUUGUCGUAUUUAUUUUUCUUUUAAAAAUAUUGUUAUUAUAAA